rnacentral:rRNA from 1 species
UAGUUGAAUUUCGGGAUUAGUACGUCGGUCGUGCCUUCGGUACGUACUGGUGUUACUGGUUCCUACCUUCUGACGAACCAUCAUGUCAUUAAUUUGGUGUGGCGGGGAAUCAGGACUGUUACUUUGAAAAAAUUAGAGUGUUUAAAGCAGGCUCGCGCUUGAAUACAUUAGCAUGGAAUAAUGAAAUAGGACGUUGACCCUAUUUUGUUGGUUUCUAGGAUUGACGUAAUGAUUAAUAGGGAUAGUUGGGGGCAUUAGUAUUCAAUUGUCAGAGGUGAAAUUCUUGGAUUUAUUGAAGACUAACUACUGCGAAAGCAUUUGCCAAGGAUGUUUUCAUUAAUCAAGAACGAAAGUUAGGGGAUCGAAGACGAUCAGAUACCGUCGUAGUCUUAACCAUAAACUAUGCC